GCGAGCUUGGCGGAAUGGUAGACGCACGAGACUUAAAAUCUCGAGUCCGUAAGGGCGUGCGGGUUCGAGUCCCGCAGUUCGCACCA
rnacentral:tRNA from 3 species